rnacentral:rRNA from 1 species
AUUGAACGCUGGCGGCAUGCCUUACACAUGCAAGUCGAACGGCAGCACGGGAGCAAUCCUGGUGGCGAGUGGCGAACGGGUGAGUAAUAUAUCGGAACGUGCCCGGUCGUGGGGAUAACGUAGCGAAAGCUACGCUAAUACCGCAUACGAUCUACGGAUGAAAGCGGGGGGAUCGCAAGACCUCGCGCGAUUGGAGCGGCCGAUAUCAGAUUAGGUAGUUGGUGAGGUAAAGGCUCACCAAGCCGACGAUCUGUAGCUGGUCUGAGAGGACGACCAGCCACACUGGGACUGAGACACGGCCCAGACUCCUACGGGAGGCAGCAGUGGGGAAUUUUGGACAAUGGGCGCAAGCCUGAUCCAGCCAUGCCGCGUGUGUGAAG